rnacentral:rRNA from 1 species
CUUGGUCAUUUAGAGGAAGUAAAAGUCAUAACAAGGUUUCUGUAGGUGAACCUGCAGAAGGAUCAUUAGUGAAUGCUGGUCGCGGAUUCGUCCCGACCUUUCCUCUCCUUUUGACACACCUGUGCACCGGUGGUGGCCUUGCAAAAGGCCCUGCCAACAUUUCUAUUACACACAAAAAGUCAUGAACGUAAAAUUAUCAUAACAAAGAUAACUUUUGACAACGGAUCUCUUGGUUCUCCCAUCGAUGAAGAACGCAGCGAAAUGCGAUAAGUAAUGUGAAUUGCAGAAUUCAGUGAAUCAUCGAAUCUUUGAACGCACCUUGCGCUCCUUGGUAUUCCUUGGAGCAUGCCUGUUUGAGUGUCAUGAAUCUCUCUUGUCAUUGGAUUUUUUCAAUCCAAGCGAUGAGGUCCAUGGGCCUGGAGUCUAGCGACUCCUUGCCUUAAAUGUAUGAGCUGAGUGCCAGCCGGGAUGUUAAGUUUUCCACUCUCCCGCGGAAGAAGGCAGUUGCUUCCAACCCAGUCUUUGUGCGCAAAGACUAUUGUAUCUCUGGCCUCAAAUCAGGUAGGACUACCCGCUGAACUUAAGCAUAUCAAUAAGCGGAGGA